UCUUCCUUGGUCUAGUGGUCAUGAUUUCCGCUUGUCAUCACGUGAUUACGAGCGCGGGAGACCGGGGUACGUAAACAUCGCCUUGAAUGCUGUAAUCCUAGCUAAUCCUGCAUAGGUUCGAUUCCCCGAGGGAGAG